CUUCUUUCUUGUUUUUCCCUUCUUCUUUCCUUUCUUUCUUCUUCUUUCUUGUUCUUCAUUUCCUCUUCUCACCCGAGUACACAGAGAGAGUGAGAGAUGAGAUUGAGAGGGAGACAGAGAAAGAGAGACCGAGCAAGAGAUCGAGAGAGAGAGAGAAUAUGAGAUUGAGAGGGAGAGCUGGAGCUGGAGACCCGGGAAAGAACCAAAGAAGACCCGAACGAAAUCCAUAAACCCGAAAGCCAGAGAAUGGGCAGGGACCCCAAUUCCGUGAUUUCCGGCGACCUGUGAUAAGGAUUUCGGUGGGUUCGAUGGAGGGACGAUUUCCUGUGAGCCCUGGAAUCGACGAACCGAAAGGCUAAGAAGAGAGGAUUCAACGGAUCCGUGAGCUGAACCCAUUAGACCCUGGAGGAGCUCCGAUCAUGAAACCCAGAAAUCCGACAAACCCAUGAGACCCGACUCUUCAUGUAUCAAUGCCGAUGGAGCUGGAGAUACAAUUUCUGGCGUAAUCAAGGGUGAUUUCCAGUAGAUUUCUCUAUGUUUGAGCAGGGAUCCUCUAGAUGAUGAACUGAGAUUGCACAAAAGGGUUGUAAAUAUAAAAUACUUACUGAGAUGAUUGUGCAGGAACCGAGACUGAUGAGUACCGGGAUUAUCAGGAUCCUUGUGAUGAUUUUGAUUACAUAGACGAGACUACCUAGUGUCUCCCAUUUUGUGGUGGGCUUACUGAAUAGUCUAUCUUUUAUGAUAAUGUUAUGACUUAUUUUAUGCAUUCCCUAAACGACUUGUGUUUUAUUUCAUAGUUUGUAUAAUGACAAUAAUUAUGUAGAAUU